rnacentral:lncRNA from 1 species
GAUUCCAUGGUGAUGAAGGUCAGUGUUGCCGACGACCCCCAUGCAGUUCAUAAGGGCCUUUUUCAUCUUCUUUUUGGAUUUUAGACGUGCAGUGCAGCCGGAUCCCAUGAGCAGUGCGCCCGGCGCCCUCGUGUGGUUCAUCCACUGCCACCGGGGAUUCCCUCCCUUCCCUAACCUCUCUACACAACAGACGAGCUGCUCUUUUGUCGCUCAUGGGCGCGCGCCUGACGGGGCUGCUACUAGUCCGAGCUACCACCACCUCUCAUCCCGACGACAACUACCUAUGUUUCGAGACGCCUCACCUUGAGCUCAGUCUGGGUGUUUGUGGUGCAGUCUAGCCACAGUGGACAUGUAGUUCCGUGCUCAUGUUGGUGCAGGUCGUGGGCGCACCAGCGACGACGACAGCAACACCUUGAUCUCCGGCAUAGUUUGUGGACUGCAGGUUUAAUGCAAUGUUUGCUGAGUUCAAUGCAAUGUCAGGGUGUGGAGUGCAGGUUCUUUGAGUGGCAUGAUGAUCCAAAUACUUCAUUUCUGAAUUCCCUGCUCAGUAAAUUGCGUGAUACUAUGUAUUGUCUGAAAACAGAGAAGAAACAGUUGGAGGAAUCUCGAAUCCAAGUUGAAGCUCGCAUGAACAAGGCUAUAGAUGUGGAGAUGGGCACGCGACAGAAGUAGAAGAAAUUCAUAUGAAAUUGGAAAGAUUUAGAGAGAUGUAUCAGUCUAUUGAGAAAGAUGUGCCAGUAUGUCCAGACAUAUUUGUAUGUUCAGAAAAUUGAAUAAUUUAGAAAUGUUUGUGGAGUUCAAAAACUUCUAUGUUACUGCUUGUUUGUAAGCAACUCAUUUUGUCCAAUACUAGGUGUUUUUAAGCAAUUUCAUUUCGUUCAGUGCUGGCUUACAAAGUACAAUUUUUUUGCUAUCUGAUUUGCUAUUUGAC